rnacentral:lncRNA from 1 species
CUGCAAAGCAGCCUCCCCGCGCGGGGAGGCUCUUAAGAAAUGCAACUUCUAUCCGCUGCCCUACUGCCUACAGAUACGGCUUAUCCGUGAUCCGCGGAGCUACGCGUAGCUCCUAAAUUCGCGGCGCGGUAUAGGCCUUAUUUAUAGCAAAGCCAGACUUUUAUUCCGACUUUUCCAAAGGAGGUGUUGGCACUCCCUUUUGCAAAAGAAAGUUUAGAAAGAUUUCCUCCCAAUUAAUUAGAAAGGGGCUUACUUGUCGCUCCAAUCCCGACCGACAGGCGCUCAUCCUAUGGCUGAAACAACAUCACGGUGUUCAAACUGCCUUGGCACUGCCUUACUAAUCUAUUGAUAGAUCAAGAUUCUACUAUGGUUAGUAGCCUUCCUAUAUUUCUUUACUAUAAAGCAAUGUGGUGCCAGCCCUCAGAGAUGUCAUCGCUGGACCAGCUAUUUCAUCUUUCAUUGCUGGUCAGCU